UCGCUUUAUUCUACAAUUUUAUGAAAUUAUUUGUCAUUUUAUUACUAAUAAUAGUCUAGUGUUAUCUUAUACAACCAGACUUGUACACUAUUAUUAUUGACUUCCAAGUCAUUAUUACUUGGUAGAUUAGGUUUAAUUUUAUUUUAGAGGAUUAAAUGUAAAAAGUUAUGUAUGUUAUUUACUCUUGAUAUAUGUAGCAUUUAUUAGACAAUUCAUUAUUAGUGGAUUGCACAAUAAGUUAUUUUAUUCUUUGUGUAUGUCUUUAGGAAGCAAUGUUGUGGCUGUAAGGCCACACACUGCGUGUUGGGUUGUGUCGGUGGCGCAGGUGUGCCGGGAUACACAUGUGUGACAGUAUACACUAGGAGUGAUCAUUCGGUUAUAAUCGAAUUGAAUAAGCUAUUCGGUUAUAACCGAAAAUCGACUUAGUGACAAUUUUACUAUCCGAAAUAAUAACAAAAAUUUAAAAAUAACCGAAUUACCGAAUUUCGAAUUGGAAUUUCAGUAAUUCGGGUAAAAACCGAAUCAGCAUCAAUACACACGAGUACACGACUACCAACCAUCUCUGUUUUACCGACCAAGAAAUUACUCAAACCCAUAAUUGAAUCUUCUUCUUCAAAGCGUAGACUCUGUAAACAAGCAUGCUUUUCCUCUUUACACGAUUCCCCGGACGUAAGAAAACCUGAUAACUCGUGGAUAUUAAUUCCUAAAGCCAUGCAUUCACCAAGGAAAUGAAAUGUGGGCAGUAAGUGGCGCCAUUUUGAUCUACACUGUAUUAAUAGUAUGGCUUUUGGAGCGGCGUCCAGAGUUUCAAGGCCCCUGGCAGGAUCAACUAAGCAUCGCGCUUUGGUUCACCUUCUCUUCCAUUUUCUUUGCUCAGAGUAAGUCGCAAUUUAAAGCAGAUAUAUAUAUAUAUAUAUAUAUAUAUAUACUACUAAGGGGUAAAUUUUUUUCGAACUGAAUGACACCUUCAACUCUUCAAGAGGCACAAUUUCUUCCCCGAUGAGAGAAGCGGAGAUCUGGGACAUGGUGGCCAAGGCUCUUGAUUUGAGAUCUGGAACUUGGAAGCGGCGGCUAGGGCAAAAAAUGACUGAAUCAGAAUAAGAUAAUAAUAAUAGUACAAAAUUAUUAUUUUUUAAAUAUUAAUAUUCGGUUAUUCGGGUACUCGAAUUAUCUGUUUUUUAAAACCAAAAUCGAAAUCGAAUAAUGAACAAUAAAUCGGAUAUAACCGAAAUAAGAAAAAAAACUGAAAAAUCGAAAUAAUUCGAUUAAAAAAGUUCGAUUCAGUUCGAUAUCCGUUUUUUACUCACUCCUAAUAUACACCCAAUUUAUGUAAAUAUGAAUAGAAAAGAAGCCAAGAAGGGAAAGAAAGAAAUGAAACAAAUAGGGUGGGAGAAAAAGUACCUUACUUGAAUGUUGCAGUACUGUUGGUGGUCGUCGGACCAGCUGUUGUGAUGUCUCUCUCUUAGUCAAUGUUUGUGGUAGACUUGAAAGUUUGUGGCACAACUCGCGAGAAAGGAGAUAACAAAGAUAUGAUUUUAUUGGCGGAUGAAUGUAGUGGGCGGGUCCAGUCCACUAUCUGUUUGAAUUAAUGACCAAAUGUUGGGUUAAGAAACUUUGUACUUAGUAUUCUUGUUGUAAAAUUGGGCAAACCAUUGGCUUAGUAAUAUAUUAAAUCUAAAAGAUUGGGC
rnacentral:lncRNA from 1 species